rnacentral:rRNA from 1 species
GCCUGCGGCCAUGCCACCCUGAACAAGCCCGAUGGCGUCUGAUCUUGGAAGCUAAGCAGGGUCGGGCAUGGUUAGUACUUGGAUGAGAGACCACCUAGGAAGAUAAGGUGCUUGCUGUAGGUA